GUUAGUUCUCUGAUGUUGCUCCUCGAGGAUGAUACAUUUAGAACCCGUGGCAUUGCGUGUGACUCAGCAGAUGCAGCGACUGGAUCCCUGAUGUUGCUCCUCAAGGAAGAUGCACUUGUAACCAUGAUAUCACCUGCGCGUCAGCAGAAAGCAUUUCUGGAUGUAGCGACUCACUGUCCGAUGUUGCCCCUCAAGUAUGAUGCACUUGUAACCCGCGGCAUCACCUGUGCCUCAGCAGUUGAUUGUGAUUUCUUGCCUCCCGCGAGUGUAUCUGCUGGCCAUACAGGCUGGGCUCGGUCUCCCUGUCUUUGUCCAGCUCUCCGCUGUCACCGUGUGACGGCAACGGCUACAAACAUUAAAGGUUCCGUGUCAUGGAAUGGAUGGGUGAUAGUGAGCGAGCAAUGGAUCUCGCUGAAUACGCCUUGCCGGUCUAGAGAGUGUUGGGCUUGGAAGCGGGGACACCCAGAUGUGCGAGGAGGUGGCCAUAUUGGUUGAAGGCAGGGCUCGCUGGAUGUAUUUAAGCAAUCAAUCAACUUGCACGAGGAACCCUGUUGCCAUUGGAUGGUCUAAAGGUCUGUAGAGAUCCCAAUGUUAUGGUUCCUGUGUCUGCGUGGAAUGGACCAGGAUGCUUGGGACUUGGGAGGGUAUAUACAUGCUGAAAUUGGUCCAACUGUGACUUCCCCCUCCUCACUAUGUCAAACCUUGCUUGAUAAAUCGGCCUUGAUGUCAUGACCCAUAUCAGAGAUUACAUGGUGAAGAAGCUCCGUGUCGACAAGAGCAUCAUCCUGAAGCACUGCAUCCUCAACUACAAGCAGUACGGAACCACCAUGGCUGUGGGCUGUAGGGUACCAAUUAUACUAUGGUGAUUUUCACGUCCACGGGUACUGCCUGCCAGCUGUUUGUUGGUCAAGAUUACAUGGUGGAGAUGCUCAGCGUCGACAAGGGCGUGAUCCUGGAGCUCUGCGCCCUCAGCUACAACAAUUACAGAAGCCCCGUGCCUAGGUUGUAGGCAUAUCACAGAGGGAGGCAGCAAGGAGAGAAUCUAGGAAAAUGUGAACUAUUUUAUUUGUCCUUUGCCGAUGGAUGAAUUCCGUUUGGUACCAUGUUGUGUUGAUGCUGUUCUCGAUUUGUUAUGCAUUCGCAUAUGCUUGUUGGUGGCAAGACGAGAAAAGACGGUCGUUGAAUUGGGUUGACACAAGUGGCAAGGCGCCGAAGAGAGGCGAGAUUCAGACCGGAAGCACUGUGUAAAAUGAGCUGGACUUGCAAAUUGUGUUUAGGCUGGGUGUUGUUGAACUCAGGAACCUGUACCUGUUGAAAAUUGAUGUCAUUUACUCGUUCAUGUAUGUAUUGCGACCAUGAUUGAUUUUCAGAAUCUCGGUUGAAGAUUGUCUCACGAAGUGAGCGAGUCACAUA